rnacentral:rRNA from 1 species
CACGUAGGGACCGAGCGUUGUCCGGAUUCAUUGGGCGUAAGGAGCUCGUAGGCGGCCGCUCAAGUCGAAUGUGAAAACUCGAGGCUCAACCUCGAGCCUGCAUUCGAUACUGGGCGGCUAGAGUCUGGUAGGGGGAUCUGGAAUUCCUGGUGUAGCGGUGGAAUGCGCAGAUAUCAGGAAGAACACCCGUGGCGAAGGCGGCUCUCUGGGACGGUACUGACGCUGAGGCGCGACAGCGUGGGGAGCAAACAGG